GCCAGGCGUGGUGGCGCAUGCCUGUAAUCCCAGCUACUCGGGAGGCUGAGGCAGAAGAAUCGCUUGAACCUAGGAGGCGGAGGUUGCAGUGAGCCGAGAUCGCACCAACACACUCCAGCCUGGGCAACAGAGUGAGACUCUGUUUCUU
rnacentral:sRNA from 1 species